GGGGAGCUGCAGGAGUCCUGGCACACAGCUGAAGUGGUGGUAAUUGUAAAAGGAAGAGAAUGGGAAGCUGCUAUGAAGUCACACUCACUGAGUACUAUCUAGGGCGCUGAACUGGCCUCCCACAAAGCCUCCAUCAUUCAUUCAUCAGCGUUGUUCCAUGAGCUCUCAUCACUAAAACCCUUCGGCUGGACAGCAAUUUGCUAAUUCUUAAAAUUCAAAAGCAACCUUCUCCCAACAAGGAGCUGAUAGAGUCAGAUGCUGAUAUUUGUACCCAAGCAACGGACAGAGAUGCUGAGCCCUGUGGUUGAAUUAGGAAAAGGCUGGAAGAAGUGAUGAGGAUGGUAACCCUGUAAGAGAACCAGCAGUCUCAAUAAACCUGGACCCCUGAGAUCUCUCAAACUCUGGACCACCAACCAGGCAGCAUACACCAGGAUCAACUCAUUCAUCUGCUCUGCUUACCCACAAACUUCUGAGGAGUGGAGCUUUUGCGCUUUCCCAUAUUUGCCGUGAGCUUCUCUAUGACAGCAGGUCUCUCAAAAGGCACCAGAGAAAUAUUGUUGUCCAUGAUAGGCUCUUGUUCCUUACAAUCUUCCAUAGGCGGCGGUACUACAGGAAAUCAUAUAAAAAGGCAACUUGGUGAUUUCUUCAACAUUUGGGGUUACGGAGAAAGUUCCAUCGCAAGUCUUUGAUCGUCUUUUCUGGUUGAAGUGGAGAAUACCUGCCUCCUUUACCCUCUCCCCAGGAAGAGCCAAUGUGGGCAACAAACAAGUUUUGGAAAACAGAGGCUAGGAAAAGAAACUGUGUCAGACAUGGAGGUGAAGGCAGCCAGAGUGAUAAAAACCUUCACUCAUACCACUAACAGAAAGUGAGGAGCAGAUAAGAGGACAGGGAGAGAGGAAGGGAAUCAAGCCAAGUUUCUGAGGUUCAGGACAAGCUAUGUAGAUGAGAACUUUACAACUGUGGCAGCAUUUCACCCUUGCUAUUCUUCCAUAGGGUAUCUCUCACCAGCUACCCACAAACUCAAUACAGUUCCCUACUAAAUAUGCACAGAGGAGGAAUGCAAAAAAUAUUACUAUGACCCCAGAAAAGUGAAGUGGUGUUAACACUGUGGUUGAAGUGUAGUUGGGUUUGAGUGUGGUUGACACACUGUCUAAUAUUUAAGAACAGUUGUUAAAGCCUAUAAUAUAACAUCUACCAUCAUUGUCAUUCCUCCCUGGCCUGACCCUGUUGGGCCCAGUGCCCUGGCUUAUCUUUUUCAAGCUCAUCCCCACUGGGUUCUAGGUUCAUCACAACCCUGUGAAGAGACUGUACUUGAGAAGAGCUAAACAAUCUGGGAAACAAGGACAGGACCAAAGCUCCAGUCAUUUAGAAGACACAUCUUUCUCUCUCUACAAUAUAUAACACUAAUUCUAUAGUAAGUCUGUGUGCCAAUAGAGAAUAUUAAUUAAAAUUAUAUAUUCAUAUCUUCUUUACAACAAUAUGAAGUUAAGGGAAACUCUGACUUCUAUUUGGGUAUACAUAUAGCCAAGAGUUCUAUAAAUGAACGAAUAAAAAAUACAUUAUUAGAAUUUGCACAUGUCCUCGAAUUGAAGGCCACAAUUGCAAUAGGGAAACAUCCCAUGGAAAACCUCGUAAGGAUACUUUGAAGCAUCUUUGGAGAGCUUUGGCAUAGCGUUAAGCUUCUUUUUGUCCUCUGCUGCCAGUUGGCCCUAAAACCAACAAUUUAAAUCAGCAGUUCUUAACCUGUGGAUUAUAAUUCCUUUGGCAAUUUUUUAUUCCCCAAAGUACUUAUAUUUCAAUUCAUAACAGUAGAAAAAUUACAGUAAUGAAGUAGCAGCAAAAAAGUUUUUAUGGCUGGGGAUCACCACGACACAAGUAAGCAUGUUAAAGGGUCACAGCAGUAGAAAGGAUAAGAACCACUGAUUUAAAACAAAGCAAUGUUCUGAGUAGGCAGAUGCAAUGUCCAGAGUUAAACAGUGAAAACCUUAAAGGGAGUGGCCCACUUACUCAUUCUUAGUAUUAACGCCCUGAAAUCAAAUAGCAAAAACAGCUGCUUAGGAGACAUUUAUUAUAUAACCUAUUACAUUUAAUUCUCAUAGUAUAUCUAUGACCAACAUAUUCAAACACAACACAGUGAGACCAUAUUUAUAAAACCCUAAGGCCCACAGUUGUAUAACAUACAAGUCCUAUGCUGUCCACAUUCACCCAGGUAAUGAAAGCUUGCAGUACCAAAUCCACAGUUCAACAUGGAUAGGUCUAUGAAAAUGUUAGCUAUCAGUGAUAAUAAUAUGAACAUAUAUGAUAAAUUCACAACAAUUAAUAUAACUAGAUUAGAUUAUCUGACAGAAGCUAUUCCUUAUGCAAGGACUCAGACUAUUUACAAUAACAAAAAUAUUUAAAACUUCAAAUUAAAACCACAAAAUCACUAACUGCAUUAUAAGCACACUUACACAGAAUACACUUUUAUACACUUUUAAAAUACAUUUAAAAUAAACUGAAACAUCCCAUAAA
ensembl:antisense Gm29114 predicted gene 29114